rnacentral:lncRNA from 1 species
GGUAGUUGAAACAUUUGUAAAUCAAUAUUAUACACAUAUGUAAGAUACGUUACAUGCAUAUAAUAUCUAUUUUAAAGCCACCAUCCCAUUCCACCCUUCCUACUCCCUAUUCAGUUCUCUAGAGGCAGUCAUUUACCCUUUUUUUUCACACUUAUUUAAAUAGGUAACACAGGGAUGAGGUAAAAAUUUCAAAAAUUUCCAUUUCAAAUUUCAGCUCCUCUCACGAAAGGCAAUGACUCUUCCUAAUUUAUUAUAUUUCCUUCCAGAGACAUGCUAUGCAUAUGUCAGCAUAUAAAUAUUAAAAAAAAAAAACCCAGAAGUGGUAACAUGCUACAAACACUGUUAGGCACCUUGUUUUUUAAUCUAACAAUGAAUCUCGAAGAUCUUCUGCAUCGGUAUGUAAACAACUGCUUUGUUAUUUUAGGAGACUGCACAAUAUCCCGUUGCAGGGAUGGGUCCUGAUAGAUUUAAUCAGCUCCUGUGAGGGACAUUGAGGUUGAUGCCAACCUUUGGAUAUUGCAGUGAAGCAGCAAAGAACCUUGUACUCUCAUUUUCCUGCACAUGUAUGCCUCUUUCUGUCAGGAUUCCUGAGUUCAAAGGCAUAUACUUUUGCAAUUUUGAUAGAUAUUGACAAACUGUCCUUCAAAGAGAUGCUACUGAUGUACUUGUCCACCAACUUCAUACUCAAGUACCCCUUUCUCCAUACCCUUGCCAAUUCUAUUCAAAUAAAAAACUUUUUUUAAAAAAUUAAAAAAAAAAACAAAACAAAAACAAACCAACACAGGAGUUCCCAUUGUGGCGCAGUGGAAAUGAAUCUGACUGGGAACCAUCAGGUUUCAGGUUCGGUCCCUGGCCUUGCUCAGUGGGUUAAGGAUCCGGCGUUGUACGUCACAGACUCAGCUUAGAUCUGGUGUUGCUGUGACUGUGGUGUAGGCCGGUGCAACACGGGAUCCGAGCCCCAUCUUCGACCUAAACCACAGCUCACAGCAACGCUGGAUCCUUAACCCACUGGGCAAUGCCAGGGAUCGAACCUGCAACCUCAUGGUUCCUAGUCAGGUUUGUUAACCACUGAGCCACGACGGGAACUCUUCCUCUCCUUUUAUGAAAAAAAAUUACUCACUUUCUAUUUAUGGCAAUGAUAUGUUUUUCUUUUUAAAUAGACUUUUUUUUUUUUCUUCUGGAAACAUGUGGAAAUUCCCCAGCUAGGGACUGAACGUGCAACAUAGCAGUGACAACACCAGGUCCUUUACUCGCUGUGCCACAAGAGAACUGCUAAGCAGACUUUAUUUUUCAGAGCAGAUUUAUUUAUUUAUUUAUUUAUUUAGCUUUUUUAGGGCUGCACCUGUGGCAUGUGGAAGUUCCCAGGCUAGGGGUCAAAUUGGAGCAAAAGCUGCUGGCCUACGCCACAGCCAUAGCAAUGCAGGAUCUGAGCCACAUCUGUGACCUACACCACAGCUCAUGGCAAUGCCAGAUCCUUAACCCACUGAGCGAGGCCAGGGACCAAACCUGCAACCUCAAGGUUCCUAGUUGGAUUCGUUUCCACUGUGCUACAAUGGGAACACUCAGAGCAGUUUUAGAUUCACAGUAAAAUUGAGCAUAACAUACAGAGAUUUCUCAUAAACUUCCUGCCCCCUGCCACAUGCUCAGCCCCUCCCCCAUCAACACUCCCCAACAAACAGAGGAAU